rnacentral:rRNA from 1 species
UACAGAGGUCUCAAGCGUUGUUCGGAUUCAUUGGGCGUAAAGGGUGUGUAGGUGGCGCGCUAAGUCGGGUGUGAAAUUUCGGAGCUUAACUCCGAAACUGCAUUUGAUACUGGCGUGCUUGAGGACUGGAGAGGAGACUGGAAUUCAUGGUGUAGCAGUGAAAUGCGUAGAUAUCUGGAGGAAUACCGGUGGCGAAGGCGGCAUCCUGGACCGGCAUUGACGCUGAGGAGCGAAAGCCAGGGGAGCAAACGGG